UACGUAGGGGGCAAGCGUUGUCCGGAAUCAUUGGGCGUAAAGAGCGCGUAGGCGGUCCGGUAAGUCCGCUCUGAAAGUCCGGGGCUCAACCCCGGGAGGCGGGCGGAUACUGUCGGGCUAGAGUCCGGAAGAGGCGAGUGGAAUUCCUGGUGUAGCGGUGAAAUGCGCAGAUAUCAGGAGGAACACCAAUGGCGAAGGCAGCUCGCCGGGACGGUACUGACGCUGAGGCGCGAAAGCGUGGGGAGCAAACAGG
rnacentral:rRNA from 1 species